UACAGAGGGUGCAAGCGUUAAUCGGAAUUACUGGGCGUAAAGCGCGCGUAGGUGGUUUGUUAAGUUGAAUGUGAAAUCCCCGGGCUCAACCUGGGAACUGCAUGCAAAACUGGCAAGCUAGAGUAUGGUAGAGGGUGGUGGAAUUUCCUGGUGUAGCGGUGAAAUGCGUAGAUAUAGGAAGGAACACCAGUGGCGAAGGCGACCACCUGGACUGAUACUGACACUGGAGGUGCGAAAAGCGUGGGGGAGCAAAACAGGG
rnacentral:rRNA from 1 species